rnacentral:rRNA from 1 species
UACGUAGGGGGCGAGCGUUGUCCGGAAUUAUUGGGCGUAAAGAGCGUGUAGGCGGUUCGGUAAGUCUGCCGUGAAAACCUGGGGCUCAACCCCGGGCGUGCGGUGGAUACUGCCGGGCUAGAGGGUGGUAGAGGCGAGUGGAAUUCCCGGUGUAGCGGUGAAAUGCGCAGAUAUCAGGAGGAACACCGGUGGCGAAGGCGGGUCUCUGGGCAGUAACUGACGCUGAGAAGCGAAAGCGUGGGGAGCGAACAGG